rnacentral:rRNA from 1 species
AGAGUUUGAUCAUGGCUCAGAACGAACGCUGGCGGCAGGCCUCAAACAUGCAAGUCUAGGGGGUGUAGCAAUACAUCACCGGCGGACGGGUGCGUAACACGUGGGAAUAUACCUUUCGGUACGGAACAACUGAGGGAAACUUCAGCUAAUACCGUAUACGUCCUAACGGAGAAAGAUUUAUCGCCGAAGGAUUAGCCCGCGCUCGAUUAGCUAGUUGGUGAGGUAAUGGCUCACCAAGGCUACGAUCGAUAGCUGUUCUGAGAGGAAGAUCAGCCACACUGGGACUGAGACACGGCCCAGACUCCUACGGGAGGCAGCAGUUGGGAAUCUUGGACAAUGGGGGAAACCCUGAUCCAGCCAUGCCGCGUGAGUGAUGAAGGCCUUCGGGUUGUAAAGCUCUUUUACCCGGGAAGAUAAUGACUGUACCGGGAGAAUAAGCUCCGGCUAACUUCGUGCCAGCAGCCGCGGUAAUACGAAGGGGGCUAGCGUUGUUCGGAAUUACUGGGCGUAAAGCGCGCGCAGGCGGUUUCUCAAGUCAGUGGUGAAAGCCCGGAGCUCAACUCCGGAACUGCCAUUGAAACUGUGAAACUUGAGGACGAGAGAGGUGAGUGGAAUUCCCAGUGUAGAGGUGAAAUUCGUAGAUAUUGGGAAGAACACCGGUGGCGAAGGCGGCUCACUGGCUCGUUUCUGACGCUCAGGCGCGACAGCGUGGGGAUCAAACAGGAUUAGAUACCCUAGUAGUCC